AGCAGACAGUGAAUGGUCAAACUGGAGGGAGCUCUAGAAAAAAAACUUGAAUUUCCCUCUACAUCACAGUCUAGCUUAUAAAACAAGUUGAAUCUUCCACCACUCCACAUCACAUUCCAGUCUAUAAAACAAGUUGAAUCUCCCACCACUCCACAUCACAUUCCAGUCUAUAAAAGAACUUGAAUCUCCUACCACUCCACAUCACGGUACUUGAGUUCGCCUUCGGGAAUUAUGGCGUAUCUUGUGGUUGUUGAUGCAUGUUUGUUUUCUUAAUGUGUUGGACAAACUUUUAAAACAAUUUGGGACAAAUGUAAUAAGAUCCGUAAGGAUAAAGCCAACUUAACUAUGGUGUGGUUGUGAUGAACUUUAAGACUUAUGUUUAAAAAUCUAUGUUUUAAACAA